UCGAGCGAACAGACGAGGAGCUUGCUCCUCUGACGUUAGCGGCGGACGGGUGAGUAACACGUGGAUAACCUACCUAUAAGACUGGGAUAACUUCGGGAAACCGGAGCUAAUACCGGAUAAUAUAUUGAACCGCAUGGUUCAAUAGUGAAAGACGGUUUUGCUGUCACUUAUAGAUGGAUCCGCGCCGCAUUAGCUAGUUGGUAAGGUAACGGCUUACCAAGGCAACGAUGCGUAGCCGACCUGAGAGGGUGAUCGGCCACACUGGAACUGAGACACGGUCCAGACUCCUACGGGAGGCAGCAGUAGGGAAUCUUCCGCAAUGGGCGAAAGCCUGACGGAGCAACGCCGCGUGAGUGAUGAAGGUCUUCGGAUCGUAAAACUCUGUUAUUAGGGAAGAACAAAUGUGUAAGUAACUAUGCACGUCUUGACGGUACCUAAUCAGAAAGCCACGGCUAACUACGUGCCAGCAGCCGCGGUAAUACGUAGGUGGCAAGCGUUAUCCGGAAUUAUUGGGCGUAAAGCGCGCGUAGGCGGUUUUUUAAGUCUGAUGUGAAAGCCCACGGCUCAACCGUGGAGGGUCAUUGGAAACUGGAAAACUUGAGUGCAGAAGAGGAAAGUGGAAUUCCAUGUGUAGCGGUGAAAUGCGCAGAGAUAUGGAGGAACACCAGUGGCGAAGGCGACUUUCUGGUCUGUAACUGACGCUGAUGUGCGAAAGCGUGGGGAUCAAACAGGAUUAGAUACCCUGGUAGUCCACGCCGUAAACGAUGAGUGCUAAGUGUUAGGGGGUUUCCGCCCCUUAGUGCUGCAGCUAACGCAUUAAGCACUCCGCCUGGGGAGUACGACCGCAGG
rnacentral:rRNA from 1 species